CUAUUCCUUGUAUUUGUGAGAGAGCUAUUGGGGUAUUUGGGAUUGGAUGUGUGUGAGAAGAUUGAUACACCAACUUGUAUAUCUCCAUAUUUGAUUAGUGGAAUUUCUUCGUCGUUGCCUGUGGAUGUAGGCCAAAAGCCGAACCACGUAAAUCCUUGGUAUUCUUUUGUUUGUGUGUGUAUUUAUUUUCAGAGUUUGGGUUUGCUUCAUUCCUAUUGUUUAUUUCUUGGAGAUCUUUCUAUAAUCAUAAUGUUUUCACAAUCAAUAUUGAGGUGGGAGUGCUAUUCGGAGGUGCUUUCCUACUACAACAACUUGUUUUCCCCUCCAAUCAGGAAUGGCAGCUUAUUUUGAAGGUAGCAGCUUAGAGCAACCGCACCUAGCAUUGUAAAUGCCAUAUGUAAAGGUGGGAGAAGCAAUUUUCAAGGCUAUGCAAAUGGGAUACAACGUGAUUUUGGUUCUAAGCAACAAUACCAGGCUUGUGCAGAUUUGCAACCAAGGGAAGGAUCUAACUUGGACAAAGCAGAAUUUGGUGGCAGACUUGACUCAUCUUCAACAACUGGGGUUGACCACUCACUACUUGUUUGUUCCCAAGGAUAUUAUCUCACAUGUAAUAGACUUAGUUGCUAUAACUACUUGCUUUCCUAUUA